rnacentral:lncRNA from 1 species
GGGGAGCCUUGAUUUGUAGUAUUUGCGGCUCAUGUGGCAUAAAUUCUCCUACAGUGACUAGUUUCAAGCUAUCGACGUGAAGGCAUUGAAGGCAGAGCCAGGAAGAGGUGUGCACGGCCGGGCCCUGCAAGGUGGAAGGAGAACGAGUUUCCAAAGCCAGAGGCUCCCGGCUCCAGGUGAUCCCCAGCAGUGGGAACGCAGGUGGACUUGCCCAGAGUGCAAAAUACGGGACCUGUGGCUGCAGGUGCCACAAUGGCCAGAAAGAACCGGUUCUGCCUAUGGUGCGUGCAUGCUUAAGGCAAAAAGAAAAAAAAAAAAAGAAAAAAAAAGACAAGAUUGAAAAUGAUGGCCCUAUUUUAUUUGCUUCAAAAGAAACAGGCUGUUGCAUUGUGCUUGGAACAGUUUACUUUUGGCCUUGACCCCCAGUAGGACGAGCUGGAGAGGAGCAGAACCCCUGGGCUCGAAAUCAGACGAGAAGUCUGCCCUCCUGCAACUGCGGAUUCUCCCUUGCCACUGGCCUGAGCUGGGGGAAGGAAGGAGGAAAUGCCACUCCCCCUCAUAUGAGACUGCUGAUCACGGUAUUUUCAUCCUGCAUUUCAUCUCACCAAGGGGCAAGCAGAUGACCCAAGCCAGGCCAGUUAGAUAUGACCUCCAUAUUCUCUGCGUAGAGAAUCUUAAGCAUGGUAUCACCCUACUCAAAAUUUGGUUGUGGUAGGAACAAACUGUCUUUGCAGAAAUCUCCCCGGGAAGCCUAGCUAUAAACAUGCCACAGAAACGACCCUGACCUUGGAGGCAGUCUCAUCAGGACCAGUAACUCUCAACCUCUAAGAUGUGGCCCGAAACAAUACCUAAUAAUCUCCUUUUGCAAUGACCCUAGAGGUGAAGAUGCUCUCUUCCUGUUUCUCAUGAAAGGAUGUAAGUUGUAUUUUUUAGUUUCCUUUUCCGGUCCAGUAAUCUCUUGUUCAAUGUAUGAGAUU